AUAUUUUGGUUAUCAAGCGCUCCAACCCUCGGGAAUCCAUUAUCAGAGAAAUCCAGAGCUCCGUCGGAACCAUGGCGCCACCGGCAGCGAUUCGGUGGUUCUCGGUCGUUUUAGCUCUAAUGCUGUGCUAUCUCAUCACUCCGUCAACGGCCAUAUACUGCGACGAGGACGACUGCUACGAUCUCCUCGGGGUUACGCAGAGCGCCAACUCGUCGGAAAUCAAGAAAGCUUACUACAAACUCUCAUUGAAACAUCACCCGGAUAAAAACCCGGAUCCGGAAUCGAAAAAGCUGUUUGUGAAAAUUGCCAAUGCCUAUGAGAUUCUGAAAGACGAGGCGUCGCGGGAGCAGUAUGAUUAUGCCAUUGCACAUCCAGAGGAGGUAUUUUACAAUACUGCUCGCUACUAUCAAGCAUAUUAUGGUCACAAAACGGAUCCUCGUGCUGUCCUGGUUGGCCUUCUUUUGGUUCUUUCCUCAUUUCAGUAUCUGAAUCAGUGGACAAGGUAUAAUCAGGCUGUAGACAUGGUUAAGAAGACCCCUGCUUACAAAAAUAGACUACGGGCUUUGGAACUUGAGCGUAGUGGAGGGACUACAAAUAAGAAAAAGAGCAACAGGCAGAUGAACAAGAAAGUGGAAGAAGAUCUCGGCAGCGAACUGGAGCUGCAGAUUAAUGGAGCGGAGCAACCCUCCAUGUGGGAUCUUCUUGGUGUUCGUUUCAUACUCCUUCCCUACACUAUUGGCAAGUCUGUUGAUUCAGCUAUUAUUAUGGUGUGGCUGUUGGUUCUGGAGAUACAAGGUGAAAAAGGCACCAUAUACAUGGGAUGAUGCCUCCUACCUGACACGAAAAUCCCUUGGUGCGCCUAUUGAUGGAUGGAGAAAUCUAGAUGAAUCAAGAAAGGAAGAUCUUAUUCAUAAACGUUUAUGGGAGAAAGCAAACUUGCAGAGCUACCUUGCGGAUAUGCGCAAAGAAUCCAAGCGGAGAAGAUAGCAAAUUUUGUCGCCAAUGCUACCUUAUGUUCGCAAAAUACUGACAAGAAAAUUAGACCAAAACACGAAAGAGUCGACCUAUAUUUUUGUUGAAAUAGCUGAGUGGCGGAGGCGGAACAUUAAGAUUGUUACUUGCAAAUCGCAACCUUGGCAAAUUGUAUUUUGUAACCUUUAAUACACGAAGUUAUAAGUUAUAUGGAUUAUUGUGUAUAUGAGACUUUGAGGCAAAAGCACUUUUACCUUCUGAAUUCCAUUUGAUGGUCAUUGUAAGAGUUACUGAAAUUCUGUAAUAUCCUUUCAUCAUGGAUACUCAAAUUGACAAUCAAAUAUAGGGAGAGACAAAUUUCAAAA